UACGGAGGGGGCAAGCGUUGUUCGGAAUUACUGGGCGUAAAGGGCGCGCAGGCGGCUGCUCAAGUCAGGCGUGAAAGGCCUGGGCUCAACCCGGGAAUUGCGCUUGAGACUGGGCUGGCUUGAGUGCGGGAGAGGAUGGUGGAAUUCCCAGUGUAGAGGUGAAAUUCGUAGAUAUUAGGAAGAACACCAGUGGCGAAGGCGGCUCACUGGUCCGGUACUGACGCUGAGGUGCGAAAGCGUGGGGAGCAAACAGG
rnacentral:rRNA from 1 species